rnacentral:rRNA from 1 species
UACGUAGGGGGCAAGCGUUGUCCGGAAUCAUUGGGCGUAAAGAGCGUGUAGGCGGCCUGAUAAGUCGGCUGUGAAAGUCAAGGGCUCAACCCUUGAAUGCCGGCCGAUACUGUCAGGCUAGAGUCCGGAAGAGGCGAGUGGAAUUCCUGGUGUAGCGGUGAAAUGCGCAGAUAUCAGGAGGAACACCUAUGGCGAAGGCAGCUCGCUGGGACGGUACUGACGCUGAGACGCGAAAGCCAGGGGAGCGAACGGG